CCCGUUUCUGUUUUGCAGCAUUCUGGCGUUGGCAACACAAAUACGUACAGCCCAGACGAAAUGGUAUAGCUCCAUUCUUCCAAGUGGCAGUGGGUUGUAUGAUUGCGUUCUAUGUAAUAAAUUACAGCAAGUUACGUAAGUAAAAGAAUAUAGAUAAUUAAUUUCAA
rfam:Lasius niger Lnig_2.1_6739, whole genome shotgun sequence.